AUAUAACAAAAUGACUUUAUUCUCAACAGCUGAAUAAACAUUCCUUCCCCAGGGAUAUGAGCACUGGGAUUAAACUCGGUAGGCGGCCAGGGCCUUCAGGCAGGCCUGUGAGUACUUCCAGCCUCCAGCCACGACCUCUUGUCUGUGAGUCUCGAGGAUGGAGCGGGGCGUGAGUAUCACAUCUGGCUCCUUUGCAGGAUGUUUGGGAAGGUGGAUGCUGCCUGCGGGUUUGGGUUCUCUGGUGGAGUUUCUAUGUAUGCUGCCCAGAAGCCUUGUUUGGGAAAUCAUGCCGCUGUCCUGCAAGCAGAAUCUAAGCGCUGCUGCUCAUCCAGGAAGCUCCCACCACAACCAGGAAGAUGCGGCACGUGAUUUUGAGAGAGGACUUAGAACACCCUGUUGAAAGGUGCGUGUGGACAGCUGUCUCCUGGCUUUGUGAAGGGAUGAGCGCCUGCCUCCUGUGUGAAGCAGACCAGCCUCACGGGGAUGGAGCAGAGCAUCACCUGUCAGCAACUUUGGUUUUGAAAAGAACCUCACGUCUUUGUGGAUGAAGCCUGUAAGCCGCCAGCUCGCACACACAGGACUGGCUGCGCACACGCACUCGCAGAAUGAACAAAAAUGCACCCACAUCAGGUAAGUACUGCUCCGUACUGCAAACUGGAGCCACAAGGCACAUUCCUCGGUCAUGUCGAGUUUGUUUAGCUCUGAAUCUAGGGAGUUCCUGUCAUAGCCCAGUGGAAAUGAACCUGACUAGGAUCCAUGAGGAUGUGAGUUCAAUCCCUGGCCCCACUCAGUGGGUUAAGGAUCUGGUGUUGCCAUGAGCUGUGGUGUAGGUUGCAAAUGUGGCUUGGAUCCCGUGCUGCUGUGGCUGUGGUGUAGGCUGGCAGCUACAGCUCCAAUUUGACCCUCUGGGGAAACCAGAGACCCUGGGCGCCCCUCCUCUCACUAGCCUGGGAACUUCCAUAUGUAGCAUGUGUGGCCCUAAAAAGGAAUUUUAAAAAGACUCUUUUCUUAAAUUCAGAUCUAUUUUUUUAUCAGCUGACCUCAAUUCUUAAAACGCUUUGAACAUCAUGAUGAAAUCCUUAAGACGUAAUGAAAAGUUUAAGGAUUUCUCCUCCUCAGAUGGCAGCAACAAUUAGACAGGGAACUCUUGCCCUGUUACCUGUGUAUAGGAUCAAAUGAUUCCAGACUCUGGACAAAUUCCCGAUGGCUUUUUCAAAGUCAUCCACAUCAUUUCAAGGAUCAGUACUCAGCUCCUCUGCAUAGACGCGAUCCUGGGGUCAAAGUGGAGCUGGUUUGGGGCUGCUGACUGCUGUUUAUCUCAAAGCACAGCCGCAAAGCUCUUGGCCAAAUACCAGAUGACAAAACUGAGGCCCAGAGGGCGUAAGUCCCUUGCUCAAGGUCACGUGGAUCGUUUACAUUCGUAUCUGCCCGGAAGCUCAGAGGAGAUGGUCAAGCACAUGCCUUGGCGGACACUGAAUCCGCAGAUGGUGUUAAACACGCGGGUAGGCACGAAGGAAAAUGCUGUUUUUUUCUUUCUUCAGGGCCACAUGAGCAGCAAAUGAAGUUCCCAGGCUAGGGGUUAAACUGGAGCUGCAGCCUGGCCUACACCACAUCCCCAGCAAUGGCAGAUCCUACACCACAGCUCAUGGCAACGCCCAAUCCUUAACCCACGGAGGAGGACCAGGGGUGGAACUCGGGUCCUCAUGGAGACUGGUCAGGUUUGUUACCACUGAGCCACAACCAUGCAGUCAUUUACUGAGUCACUGCUCACCCCUCUGUGCGAGGCAUGAGGGAGCCCCGGAAAGCUGUCAACCCCAAGAAACGGUCCCUCUUGGGGGUCCUGCUCCGUCUGCACACCUCUGUGUACCCAAGGGUAGAGAGGCAGCUCCAUACCUUUGGCCACGAUGAGCGCCCCCAGGAUGCUGGGCUAAAACCUUGAAGACAGCUGAGCUGCAACGGGAACUCCUGAAAAGGCUAUUUUGACUUGAAAUAGGCACAGACUGGGAGUUAUCAGAUUGAGAGCCUGCUAAACUUUGUCACUUCAUUCUGAUAGUUUACCAGGCUGGAGACAAGAUGGUGGAGACCAGGGACCCUGGGCCUGCCUCCUCUCACGAGAACACCGAAAUCACAACUAACCGCUGAACAACCAACAAUAAAACAGACUGGAACCUACCGAAAAAGAUACUCUACGUCCAAAGACAAAGAAGAAACCACAACGAGAUGGUAGGAGGGGUGCAGUCACAAUAUAAUCAAAUCCCAUGCAGUCUGGGUGGGGGACCCACAAGCUGGAAAACAACUCUAUCAGAGGCCUUCUCCCAUCAGGCCUCCCAGCCUCGGGGUUUGGCAGCAGGAGGAGGAGCAUCCAGAGCCCCGGCUCUGAAGGCAGCUGGGCUUGAUCACAGGAGCUCCCUAAGACUUGGGGAAAAAGACUCCAUUCCUGGAGGACGCACACGCGAUCUCGUGUCCACUGGGACCCAGGGCAAGAGCACUGACUUGACAGGAGCCGGAGCCAGACCUACCUGCCAGUCUUGGGGGCUCUCCUGGGGAGGCGGGGUGGCUGCAGCUUUCUCUAGGUCAUAAGAGGUGAUGGCGGAAAUGUAGAGACACGUUCAUCUACUUGAAGUCCCCUGCCAGAGAGAGACUUCUUGCUUGGGUAAGUAGCACCAAGACCUGGUCCUAUCCAACAGCUUGCAGACUCCAGUCCUGGGACACCUCAGGCCAAACAACCAAGGGUACUGGGAACAUGGGCCCACCUAUCGGCAGACAGGCUGCCCCGUGACUUCAACCACAGCCACCCUUUCUUUCUUUUUAGGGCUGCAACCACAGCAUAUGAAGUUCCUGGGCUAGGGGUUGGAGCUGCAGGCUUAGGCCACAGCAACGGCAGAUCCAAGCCACAUCUGCAACCUACAGGGCAGCUUGUGACAAUGCUGAGGCCAGGGAUCAAACUCAUAUCGUCGUGGGUACCAGUCGGGUUAAUCCACGGAGCCACAACGAUAACUCCAACACAGCCACCUUCAUGACAAGAUCUUGCCAACCCAAAGAGCCAGGUCCACCCACCAGUGGGCAGACAUGGGCCCCUCCAACAGCAAAGCUUGCAAAAGCCUCUAGAUCAGCCUCACUGGGGCUCAGACACCAGAAGCAAGAAAACUACAAUCUCACAACCUGACUCCACAAAUACAGGUCAGAACCAGCUUUUACAUUCUUUUUUUUUUUUUUUUGCCAUAUCCAGAGCAUAGGGACUGACUCUGAGUCAUGGCUGUGGCAACAAUAGAUCCUUUAACCCACUGGUGCCACAGCAGGGACUGAACCUGCACCUCCACUGCGAUCUGAGCUGCUACCAUUGGAUUCUUAACCCACUGUGCCACAGUGAGAACUCCUUCACUGAUCUUUUCUGUUUUCUUCAUUUCCAUUUCAUUUGUUUCUGCUCUGAUCUUUAUGAUUUCUUUCCUUCUGCUAACUCUGGGUUUUGAGAUUAGUCUCCACAUGAUGUGUUUUUUCUAAACACUAUGCCAAUAUGCCACUGAACAACCUAAUGGAUCACUGAAGGAAUCAAAACUACCUAUAGAGAAAUGACAAUGAAGACACAACAACCCAAAGCUUACGGGAUACAGCAAAAGCAGUUUUAAGAGGGAAACUUACAGCAAUAUAAGACUACCCCCAGAAACAAAAAUCUCAAACAACUUAACCUUAUAUCUAAAGCAACUAGAGAAAAAGAACAAAUGAAACUUGGGGGCAGGUCUGGGACACAGGCCACCAGGUGGGGCAUGGGUGCAGAUCACAUGGGUGCAGACACUGCCGCACCCAGCAUCCUAGCCCUUCUCAAAGCAGAAGCCUCCAUGGGAAAAGACAGAAGGAUGCUCAUCGAAGAAGAUAAAGGGUCGGAGCAAGAAGUCAGCUCUGCUGGGGACAUUCUCAGCAUGGAGGAUGUGCAGGAAGCUAGGAUGAGGUACCCCCUUAAACCAGCUAGAAUGGCCAUCAUCAAAUAGUCUACAAACACUAAAUGCUGGAGAAGGUGCCGAGAAAAGGGAACUCUUACUCUGUUGAUAGGAAGGUAAACUGGUGCCACCACAAGGGAAAACAGUAUGGAGAUUCCUCAAAAAAACUAAAAAUAGAAAUACCAUAGGAUCCGGAAAUUGCACUUUUGUGCAUCUAUCCUGAGAAAACCAUAACUUGAAAAGAUACAUGCACCCCAAUAUUCACUGCAGUACUAUUCACAAUGGCCAAGAUGUUGAAGCAGCCUAAAUGUCCAUCAACAGGAAUGGAUAAUGAAGAUGUGGUACAUACACACAAUGGAAUAUUACUCUGCCAUAAAAGAGAAUGAAAUAAUGUCAUUUGCAGCAACAUGGACGGACCUAGAGACGAUCAUACCAAGUGAAGUUAGACAGUGAAAGACAAACAUCAUACAGAUGUCACUUACAUGUGGAACCUAAAAAAAAGAUACAAAUGAACUUAUUUGCAGAAAAGAAACAGACUGAGUUUGGAAACAAACUUAUGGUUACCAAAGGGGACAGGCACAUGUAUACUGUGUUAUGUGGAAUGACUGGCCAAUAGGGACUUGCUAUAUAGCAUGGAAAAUCUACCCAAUAUUCUAUGAUGAUCUACGUGGGAAAGCAGCUGAAAGAGAAUGGACGUGUGUACAUGUAUAACUGAAUCACUUUGUGGUAUGGCAGACAUGACCACAACCUUGUAAACCACCUGUAUUUCAGUGAAACUUAAAACAAUGAAGAAAAUUACAGAAAACAAAAAAACACAUAAACAAAAUACACAAAUAACUCAUACAACAAAACAACCCAAUGAAAAAAUGGGCAGAAGACCUAAAUAGACAUCUCCCCAAAGAAGACAUGUGAAUAGUCAGAAGGCACACGAAAAAAUGCUCAACAUCACUAAUUAUUAGAGAAAUGCAAAUCAAAACUACAAUGAGGUACCACCUCAUAUCAGUCAGUAACGACCAUCCUUUCUAUGUCCACAAAUAAUAAAUGCUGGGAGUUCCUGUUGUGGGUCAGUGGAAACAAACCCAACUAGGAUCUAUGAGGAUGUGGGUGAUCUGUGGCCCUGCUCACUGGUUUAAGGAUCCAGUGUUCCCACAAGCUGCAGUGUAGGUUGCAGAUGUGGCCUGGAUUUUGUGUUGCUGUGGCAAUGGCUGGCAGCUGUAGCUCUGAUAUAAACCUUAGCCUAGGAACUUCCAUAUGCCAUGGGCGUGACCCUAAAAACAAAUGAAACAAAAAGCAAGUGCUGGGAAGGGUGUAGAGAAAAGGGAACCUACUAUACUGCUGGUGGGAAUGUAAACUGGCACAACCACUACGGAAAACAGUAUGGUGGCACCUCAGAAAACUAAAUAUAGAACUACCCUCUAAGCAUGUACCCCACUCCUGGGCAUCUAUCUGGAAAAAUUACAAUUCAAAAAAAUACAUGUACCCACAUGUUCACAGCAGUGCUAUUCACAAUAGCCAAGAGAUGAAAGCAACCUCCAUGUCCAUCCACAGAUGAACGGAUUAAGAAGACGUGGUACAUAUACACACAAGGGAAUACUACUCAGGCAUAAAAGGAAUGAAUAAUGCCGUUUGCAGUGACAUGGAUGUAACUAGAGAUUAUCAUACUAAGUGAAGUCAGAAAGACAAAGACAAAAACCACACGACAUCACAUAUAUGUGGAAUUAAAAUAUGGCCUCCUCCCCCCAGGAUUAAGAUGCUGGAGUAGAAGGACUGGAGCUCACUUUUUUCAUGAAAACAACAAAAUUACAACCAACCUCUGAACAACCUUCAAGAAAAUAGACUGGAAACUAUCAAAAAAUAUACCCUGUUUCAAAAGAUAAAGAGGAGGCCAAUCCAGAUGGUAGGAGGGGCAGUUACCUGAUAAGCAACCCCAUACCCGCCAGGUGGGCGGCCCACACACUGGAAAGUAACCGUAUCACAGAGGCUCGCCCACAGGGAGUUCUGAGCCUGUCACGUUCUCAUGCCUGGGGGUGUGGCAUUGGGAGGAGGAGCCCCCAGAGCACUGGUGCUGAGGAUCAGCCGGGCUUGUGUGCAGGAGCUCCAGAGGCCUGGGGAAACAGAGAUUCUACUCUUGAAAGGCACACAACGACUUUCAUGUGCACUGGGUCUCAAGCCAAAGCAGAGGUGCCAGAGGAAUGUGGGUCAGACCUGCCUGCAGUUCUUGGGAUGAUCUCCUGGGACAACAGGGGGUGACUGUGGCUCCUUGUCGGGGAAGGACACUGGAGGCAAAGUCUCAGGAAGAAUCAGCUUGUGCUCCUCCAGAGGUGGCCA
rnacentral:lncRNA from 1 species